rnacentral:lncRNA from 1 species
ACGCAUUUCAAAAUACAUAAAAAUCAAAUGAUACCGUAUUCGACGUCAGAACUUUGAGAUUAAAAAGAUCAUUUCUUUAAAAUAAAAGCACCAUAGUUUUGGAGGCAAAAGAAACCCACCAUUUCCGUCUUGUCAUUGCAGUGCUUUAUUUAAUCAAACAAGUUCCAUCAGAAGGAAUAGAACAUAAAUUCUAUGUGGGCGAAGAAUCCUUGGUCACUGGAUGCUAAACAGAUCAUUCUAAAAGAAAAAUAACAAACAACAUAUUUCUUAAGGGAAUGCAAACAAAGAGAUGAUGAUAAGGAUAUAGUUAAUUACAUCCUAAUACUAAAUAUUAUAAUAGAAUUUGAUGUUGCUAGAAUAUUAAAACAUUGUUGACUUCGCUAUAAGGAGGAGUUGUGGAUGGUUGGAGCUUAUUGCAAAAUAUUAAGAGAUUGGUGGAGUUAGACCAUCUAUAAUGGAGAGUCAUUCCCCUAUUUAGCAUC